rnacentral:rRNA from 1 species
CCUACGGGAGGCAGCAGUGAGGAAUAUUGGUCAAUGGACGAGAGUCUGAACCAGCCAAGUAGCGUGAAGGAUGACUGCCCUAUGGGUUGUAAACUUCUUUUAUAUGGGAAUAAAACGUUCCACGUGUGGGAUUUUGUAUGUACCAUAUGAAUAAGGAUCGGCUAACUCCGGGCCAGCAGCCGCGGUAAUACGGAGGAUCCGAGCGUUAUCCGGAUUUAUUGGGUUUAAAGGGAGCGUAGGUGGAUUGUUAAGUCAGUUGUGAAAGUGUGCGGCUCAACCGUAAAAUUGCAGUUGAAACUGGCAGUCUUGAGUACAGUAGAGGUGGGCGGAAUUCGAGGUGUAGCGGUGAAAUGCUUAGAUAUCACGAAGAACUCCGAUUGCGAAGGCAGUUCACUGGACUGCAACUGACACUGAGGCUCGAAAGUGUGGGUAUCAAACAGGAUUAGAUACCCUAGUAGUC